UUUCUUUCCCAAUUCCAUUCCUUUGCAGCACAGCUCACACACUCUAGCACAGAAUCACUCAUCAUGUUCGUCUUGUUAACACCUCAAAGCCAUACAACAUGAGAAUACUAGAGCGCACACACACGCACACACACACACGCACACACACACACACACACACACACUGGUGUAAGCUGGGACCAGGUGGACUUUAUAAGGUCUGUUCUCAGUGUGAGGAGCUGUGGGAAACAGACCUGUCUCAAGACUCCCGCUGACACUGGCUCCAGCAGCAUCUUAAUUAAUGGGAAAUCACUGUUUUAAAGAGGCAUGGCAGAACUAUACUUUGUAUUGCCAAAGCAAUAGACAGACAACAUGACAAGUACAACCGAAAGCUGUUCUGAAGAAAAACCUCAGCCAGUCCCUCUUCUCUGCCUCUCACUCUGCAAUGGGGGCAAUGACCUCAGAUGCUCCACACCCUGCUGAUUCAACACAGUAUCUUAUCAUAUCUCUAAAGCAUUACAGCUGCUGUUACCGUGCCAAAUAAUCAACAGUUGGGGCUUUACAAAAUCACAUAAUAACAGCAAUGUCACAUACCAUAAUUGGCCACGGUAACAUAAUUGCAGCCAAAUUUACCUUCCUAAUUGAUCCGUGCAUUGCUUUCACAUGCUGGAUCUCUGCGGGCUCUCGGGCCGCGGCUGUGUUGUGAUGGUUCUGCCGGGGCCGUUUUGCCCUCUCUGCACUGGGCCCUGCCGUCUGUCAGUGGCGGGCCAGCUGCAGUGGCGGUCACGGCGCCUGUUUUUAGGCGGCCGCUGCCACGCCAGUAAAAAAAAAAGCCGUAAUCCACCAGCGUGGGCCGGCUGGUUCUCAGGCCCCCGCUCUAAUUACAGGGUCAGAGGCUCAGCGGCUCGUCAAUCAUCAGGUCAUUAGUGCUCUUUAAUGACCCGCCCCUCCCCCCCUCCAGCCCAGAACCCCACCCCCCGACUGACCCCAACGGGCCCGCAAGGGGAAGUGGAACAGCCCCGGGGCCAAAGUCAGGGCCUCUUUUUCAUUUCAUUUUUUUUUUUAGCUUCCUCACUUCCUCUCUCUCUCUCCAUUUGUUCUUCCAAUCCUCUAUUUUGAUGAUUCUCUCCCUCUUUUCUCUCCCUCUUUUCUCUCCUCUUCUUGAAACUGGUCCCUCCGUUUCUGGGUUCUCGUGUCUUGUUUCUCAGGGGUACCCUCCUCCCUUGUCUUCUAUUCUAGGGGGUUUGGCCUCCAUGGGUCCUCUGAGAGCGGAGCCACCAUGAAUCAUAUAGGGGUGUGAGGGGUACAGACCAGUCAGUCGCAUUCACACCACACACACACACACACACACACACACACACACACACACACACACAC